CCUACGGGAGGCAGCAGUAGGGAAUAUUGCUCAAUGGGGGAAACCCUGAAGCAGCAACGCCGCGUGGAGGAUGAAGGUUUUCGGAUUGUAAACUCCUUUUGUUAGAGAAGAUAAUGACGGUAUCUAACGAAUAAGCACCGGCUACCUCCGUGCAAGCAGCCGCGGUAAUACGGAGGGUGCAAGCGUUACUCGGAAUCACUGGGCGUAAAGAGCGCGUAGGCGGGAUAGCAAGUCAGAUGUGAAAUCCUAUGGCUUAACCAUAGAACUGCAUUUGAAACUGUUAUUCUAGAGUAUGGGAGAGGUAGGUGGAAUUCUUGGUGUAGGGGUAAAAUCCGUAGAGAUCAAGAGGAAUACUCAUUGCGAAGGCGACCUGCUAGAACAUAACUGACGCUGAUGCGCGAAAGCGUGGGUAGCAAACAGGAUUAGAUACCCCUGUAGUC
rnacentral:rRNA from 1 species